UACGUAGGGUCCGAGCGUUGUCCGGAAUUAUUGGGCGUAAAGGGCGCGUAGGCGGCAUUGCAAGUGGAAGGUGAAAUCCCUCGGCUUAACCGAGGAACUGCCCUCCAAACUGCGUUGCUUGAGGCCGGGAGAGGUGAGUGGAAUUCCCAGUGUAGCGGUGAAAUGCGCAGAUAUCAGGAAGAACACCUAUGGCGAAGGCAGCUCUCUGGGACGGUACUGACGCUGAGACGCGAAAGCGUGGGGAGCGAACAGG
rnacentral:rRNA from 1 species